GUGGACUUCGGGUAGUGGCGCACGGGUGCGUAACGCGUGGGAACCUGCCUUUAGGUUCGGAAUAACUCAGAGAAAUUUGAGCUAAUACCGGAUAAUGUCUUCGGACCAAAGAUUUAUCGCCUUUAGAUGGGCCCGCGUUAGAUUAGAUAGUUGGUGGGGUAACGGCCUACCAAGUCGACGAUCUAUAGCUGGUCUGAGAGGAUGAUCAGCCACACUGGGACUGAGACACGGCCCAGACUCCUACGGGAGGCAGCAGUGGGGAAUAUUGGACAAUGGGCGAAAGCCUGAUCCAGCAAUGCCGCGUGAGUGAUGAAGGCCUUAGGGUUGUAAAGCUCUUUUACUAGGGAUGAUGAUGACAGUACCUAGAGAAUAAGCUCCGGCUAACUCCGUGCCAGCAGCCGCGGUAAUACGGAGGGAGCUAGCGUUGUUCGAAAUUACUGGGCGUAAAGCGCGCGUAGGCGGCUUAUCAAGUCAGGGGUGAAAUCCCGGAGCUCAACUCCGGAACUGCCCUUGAAACUGGUUGGCUAGAAUAUUGGAGAGGUAAGUGGAAUUCCGAGUGUAGAGGUGAAAUUCGUAGAUAUUCGGAAGAACACCAGUGGCGAAGGCGACUUACUGGACAAUUAUUGACGCUGAGGUGCGAAAGCGUGGGG
rnacentral:rRNA from 1 species